GGAUGCGGUCAUACCAGGCCUAAAUCACCGGAUCCCAUCAGAACUCCGAAGUUAAGCGUGCUUGGGCGAGAGUAGUAGUAGGAUGGGUGACCUCCUGGGAAGUCCUCGUGUUGCAUUCU
rfam:Brachypodium distachyon strain Bd21 chromosome 4, whole genome shotgun sequence.